rnacentral:pre_miRNA from 1 species
GUUUGCCUGUGUGUAGAUGGUGUUUAGCACCAAGGAAAGGUGUGUUUGCCUUUGUGUAGAUGUGUUUAGCACCAGGGACAGAUGUGAAUUUCU